rnacentral:lncRNA from 1 species
AUCCUUCUUCCAUAUUUGUAAGUUUUGGAGUGUUUAUUUCUGAAGGUCGAAGAUUUUCAAGCUUGAACUUUAUGCAAGUUUGUUUGAAGUUUUAAUAAUAUUCCGCUAUUCUCUGUAUAAUUCUUUGCUUUAAAAUCUUUAUAGAUUCCUGGCUCCUUUGAGGAAUUGAGGAAUAUUUGACACACAUUUAGUUAUUAAAUAAAUUUACUUGAAUACAUAUAACUGUAAACAUAUAUAUAGAGACACACAUACAUUAAAAUUUCAAUACCAAUAAAUAAUUAUCAUGAUAAAUGUAAAAACAUUCCAAUAAAAUUAUAUACUAAUACUGUCUAGUCUAGGAAUAUAAAAAGUAUAUACUAAUUUUCUAGAUAGUAUUAGAAUAUUAAACAUUAUCUUAAUUAGUAUAGCAUAUACUACGAGUGGUAUAUAAAAGUCUUCUCAUUUAGAAAAAUUACAUAAGAAUCUCCAUGAAGAAUCCUGCCGAGUCCAGAUACGUGAACUCGUAAACCUACAGAAGAACACUUGCUUCCUAAAUAGCCAUACGUGUCAUAUUAGGGGAUUAUAUUCCACUUUGCACAUAAGGUAUAUCUUGGGCACAGAGGUAGCAGUCUCGAGGAAAAAUAAGAAAAUAAGAAAUUUUGCAGUUGAACUCAUCCUCAAUACAGUUCUCCUCCAAUAUGUUCAUCACAAAGAAUUUAGAUUGAAGGUCUAAGUCAAGAUAAACCUGGGAAAAAACAAGAGCACCAAAAAAAAUACAUAUGGAAUUCGAGUAUCCUAACAUUCUAUUAACCCAUUUAUAGCUCUUGAAAGGAACUAAGAAACAAAAAAGCGAAGCAUGUCAGUAAGCAGCUAGCAACUAAUAUAGUUCAAUCUUAACCAAAUUGAAUGGAACAGAAAAAAAUUCAACACAACAAGUUUACCACUUUUGAGAAUUACAUCAUCAAGGGAUUGAGAUUUUAUAUCCAACUCAGCACUUAGCUCGAUCAAAUUCUUCUCUGCAAGAGGGAUUGUAUCCUUACAAAUUUUAGCAUAUUCUUCAUAUACCAUAUGAAGCUUUUCUAACUGUUGGAAAUAAGAAUCAGCAUUAGAAGACUCCACCGCUAACACUUUCAUGUGUUCUGCAGAACUAGCAGCUUUCACUCUUUGCUGUAACAUACAUGAAAAUUACGAACCACUUUAGAGCCAACUGACAUUAAAUUUAAUGCUUGAUUUACAGAUAUAAAAAGAUAAAAGGAUAUCAACCUUUUUAACAAAGUCAUCUUCCUCUUCAGCAGAGAAAGGGCGCUCACAGCAAGGGCAAAAAUGAUGAUCACGAGCAACUCUUUCAAAAGGAUCAAACAUUUUCCGCAUUCCAUCAGCAAUGUUGUAUUUGCUGCAACCAGUGUAUCACAGUAUAAAAACUUAAAAACCUUAGUCUCAGAUGAUGUACAAAAGGUUUGCAUUUUUAUGGGCGUAUAUUUUCAGAUUUCAUUCAAACCGGA